ACUCAAAGGAAUUGACGGGGGCCCGCACAAGCGGUGGAGUAUGUGGUUUAAUUCGAAGCAACGCGCAGAACCUUACCUACUUUUGACAUCCCACGACCGUAGCAGAGAUGUUACUUUCCCUUCGGGGACGUGGAGACAGGUGCUGCAUGGCUGUCGUCAGCUCGUGUCGUAAGAUGUUGGGUUAAGUCCCGCAACGAGCGCAACCCUUGUCCUUAGUUGCCAGCAUUAAGUUGGGCACUCUGAGGAGACUGCCGGUGUUAAACCGGAGGAAGGCGGGGAUGACGUCAAGUCCUCAUGGCCCUUACAAGUAGGGCUACACACGUACUACAAUGGCGGAGACAGAGGGUCGCGAAACCGCGAGGUGGAGCUAAUCCCAAAAACACCGUCUCAGUCCGGAUUGAAGUCUGCAACUCGACUUCAUGAAGCUGGAAUCGCUAGUAAUCGCAGAUCAGCACGCUGCGGUGAAUACGUUCCCGGGCCUUGCACACACCGCCCGU
rnacentral:rRNA from 1 species